rnacentral:rRNA from 1 species
CGCCCGCCUACGGGAGGCAGCAGUAGGGAAUCUUCCGCAAUGGACGAAAGUCUGACGGAGCANCGCCGCGUGAGCGAAGAAGGCCUUCGGGUCGUAAAGCUCUGUUGUUAGGGAAGAACAAGUACCGGAGUCACUGCCGGUACCUUGACGGUACCUAACCAGAAAGCCACGGCUAACUACGUGCCAGCAGCCGCGGUAAUACGUAGGUGGCAAGCGUUGUCCGGAAUUAUUGGGCGUAAAGCGCGCGCAGGCGGUCCUUUAAGUCUGAUGUGAAAGCCCACGGCUCAACCGUGGAGGGUCAUUGGAAACUGGGGGACUUGAGUGCAGAAGAGGAGAGUGGAAUUCCACGUGUAGCGGUGAAAUGCGUAGAGAUGUGGAGGAACACCAGUGGCGAAGGCGACUCUNUGGUCUGUAACUGACGCUGAGGCGCGAAAGCGUGGGGAGCGAACAGGAUUAGAUACCCUGGUAGU